ensembl:lncRNA LINC01229 long intergenic non-protein coding RNA 1229
GGAGUAAUGGAGAACUCCAAGGGCAGGAGGUAACCAUUAAAGAGGACCAUCAUGUAGUGUGAGGAGUCAACAUUUCACACUAGAAAGCCCUUGGUUCAAGUUUUGUCUCUGCCACCUACAGAUUUUGUAACCCUGAGGAAACUAGCUACCUCUUUAUGUACUGCCCUAUGGAGAGGCACACAUGUCAAGAAACUGAGGGAGUGCCUUCCAGUCAACAGCCAGCCAGGAACUAAGGUGCUCAGUACAGCAGCCUCCACAAAGGACUGAACAAUGCCAACAGCUAUUUGACUGUGCUUGGAAGAUCUCCGUUUAGUUAACCCUUCAGAUGAGACCGCAGCCCUGGCCAGCAAACAAAUUGCAGCCUAUGGAAAGACCUUAAGGCAGAAGCACCCAACUGAACCACCCGAGGGCUCUGACUUACAGAAACUGUGAGCAUAUAGUGAAAUGGCCUCUACCUUAUUUUGAAUGGAUUUCUGGGAUAAAGUUCUUCAGUGAUAACAUGUUUGAAGCGGCUAUCUUAUGUGCCCAUGUUACAUGCUCAUGAUAAAGCUGCAUUUCCUGAGGGGACACCAAUGGAUACACCUCUGCCUGGCACGCAGCUUAGAGGCUAAAUGUAUGAAAAGCAACACCAUGCAAAUCAUUUUGAAACUGCUGUGGAACUCUCACGGGACCCUCCAUUCUAGACAUCCAGUCCCACUAGUGAUCUGACCAUGAAACCUACUAAGAGACUUCCAGAAGAAGAUGACCUCUGAAAGGAGAAAACUUUCUUCCAAGCUUCUGUGGAACAAGAAGAUGCCAUCCCUUUGGUGGAGCCCAAAGGGAAACCAGGUAGUUAGCAAGAGAAACUGUUGUUAUCAUCUAUGAAAGGUGCUUCCUGGGGUUUCAGAGGAGGGUGCAGAAGGGGAACAGUGAGUCUGGAGGGACAGAUGGAACAUUCCUGCAAUGCUAUCAAUCCAUAUCUGACCCUCAAUUCAUGAAACUUUCCAGACAACCCACCCUGACAGAUCCCUCUCUUCUUAGAGCUCUCACGUACCUUUCUUUUAGCAUUUAACAUUCAUAACCUCAAAUGAAUGAUUUCUAUGCAUGAGUCAUUUCCUGAGUAGACUGUCAGAUCCUUGAAGGCAGGAAGGCAAUGUAAUAUAAUGGAGAAUAUCCUAUGUCUUCAAAUAGUUAUGAAGAUUAGAAAGGCAAUCUAAGCAACAUCCUUAGCAUAUUACUAGGUGCACAUAAAAAGUGAUGAAUAGACAGAUUUAUGACUAUUCAUUUUUUUUAUCCUUCCUAUCCUUCACCAUGUGGAAGAUACACUGCCAUUACACACACCUCCAAAAAGAAAACUCAGCAUUUCUUAUGUAUCUUCUCUGGGUGAUUUACUAUGUAGAAGUUCAAGUAUGUUAUUAGAAUGCUUCCCCAAUUUAGUUACACACAGAUUCCACUUAAAGUACAGAAUAAAAUCUGACAUAUUCUUUUUAGUAUGAUGUUUUAAAAAAAUAUUUGGAAAGCAAAAUUCUGUUUUACCUCCCAAUGCUUAUUGCUGUUACGAAACUAUAAAACAAAAUAAAUUAAUAAAUUGAAUGCAAACAAA